AGCCGUGCCCUAGCAGCGGGAACAGUACUGCAGUGGGCAAUUGGUGAUCUGGAGUAUUGUUUCUGCUGCCCGGGCAAGACUGG
ensembl:miRNA